rnacentral:rRNA from 1 species
UCGGGAAUUUUGGGCAAUGGGCGAAAGCCUGACCCAGCAACGCCGCGUGAAGGAUGAAGUAUUUCGGUAUGUAAACUUCGUAAGAAUAGGAAGAAUAAAUGACGGUACUAUUUGUAAGGUCCGGCUAACUACGUGCCAGCAGCCGCGGUAAUACGUAGGGACCAAGCGUUGUUCGGAUUUACUGGGCGUAAAGGGCGCGUAGGUGGCCCUGUAAGUCAGUGGUGAAAUAUCUCAGCUUAACUGAGAGGGUGCCAUUGAUACUGCAGGGCUUGAGUACAGAUGAGGUAGGCGGAAUUGACGGUGUAGCGGUGAAAUGCAUAGAUAUCGUCAAGAACACCGAUAGCGAAGGCAGCUUACCAAGCUGUAACUGACACUGAGGCACGAAAGUGUGGGGAUCAAACAGGAUUAGAUACCCCAGUAGUCCCUGAGCGGGCUGGCAAGGCGCAU